CGUCGCGGGGAACUCUAAACGUGGCCCCUUCCCUCUCACCGGGUAGUUGGGGCUGUGGCUUUGCUCCCCGGACCCAGUGGGGAGCAAACGGGCCCCUGUGGUCCCUCCGCCCUAACUCCUGACCCCUUCCCCCGGCCUGCACGACCAGACUGCUGGCCCCAAACCACUACCUUCCCGCCCUUCUCUUGGCCUUUGAGUAGUCCAGCCCCAAUUCCACUGACCAUACAUUUGGGGUCAGCUUCUUUUCUCCCACCGCUCCGGCCCCAAGCCCGUCGGCAAGCCUGAACCCAGCUCCUGUGCUCUACAACGCUCGUGCCCUCAGACUCCGCCCCGCUGCACACGACCCGGCCUCUUGGGCCGGGUCCCCUGACCAGUCUCCUCGGACCCUCUGACUCUUUUGGUCCUUCUCUAUCUCUCACCCCUUAUCCACCCCCCCUGUACAAUUCCCAGUUCUUUAACACAGUUUCCCUGAUCUUUCCAAGCUCCUCUCUCCCCUUCCUCCCCCGCCAGCUCUCGACUUGAUCCCAAAGACCCCGAACUAAGGCCCUUCAGCCCGCUUUCCACCUUGGCCUCUUCCCUCUAACCCAGGCCUUUGGCCUUCAGCAUCAGUGAUCAACAACCCCACCUUCUUGGCGCUAACUUCUUAGACUUGGCUCCUUUACCACUGCCUCAGUCCCUUCCACCUUUGGUCCUCCCUGUACCUCUGAGCCUCCUGGGAAGACAAGCCCCAUGGGCCCCUUUCUCCUCUGAAAUCUCUGAAAUGUAAUAUGUAAGAGCCUCUUUACUUUACCUGCCACUGUCUUCUCAGUAGAUGGUGGGCUCCCCAUCUCACUAAGUCCCAACGUUGCGCACCCAUCCUGCAAGUCGUAGCUCAAAGACCACCUUUUCCGUCAAGCUGCUCAUCUCUGAGCUCUUCAGGGAGAUAUGCCUGUGUCAUCAGAACUACCAUGGCGCUGUUCCUUCUUUCCUUUCUUCCUUCCCUCUUUCUCUCCUCUUCCUCCGAUACUGGUGUAGUGCUUAAAAGCACUGGCUUUGGAGUGAUGGGCAUGGCUCCCAGUUCUGCCACUCACUUGCUGUGUGCCCUUGGGCAAAUUACGAUUUCCCUGCUUCCACUGGAACUUAACCUUCUACACUGUAUGAGUUUCUGGAGUUCAUGGCCUAUUUCACUGCACUGUACCAUAAACUCUUUUAGGGUGGUGACUAUAAUCUUAAAUCUUUUUGCUCUUUUUUGACCCAGCAUUCAGCCGUGGGUAGAGUCGCAGCUUGGUAUAUUGUGGGUUCUCAGGAUAGCAGGAUUGGUAGUGAAUGGAGGCCAUGUAGCUCAUUGCAUAAAGACAGAUGUUGGAGCCCUAGGUGGGAUGGGCAGCGGUAGGAAGUAAAUUAGAUCAUAUCCAUUCCCUUGUACUUAAAAAAAGUUUUGAGCACCAGGCCUUGUGCUGGAGAGAUUGCCAGAAUGACCCAGUCCCUGCCCUCAAGUUGCUUAUAAACUAAUAGUGGAAAUAGACAUGUAAACAGAUAAUUGCAAAUCACUGUAAAAGCAAGUACAAGAUUCUGUGGGUGCAUAAAGGAGGAAGUGGGCAGGAAUUAGGAGAUUGUUAAGGAAUAGUGGGUGAGAAUAGACACAAGUAGGCAUGAAAUGGGUUCUGGAGACAGGCCCGGCCUUCAUUCAGUUCGUUCAGCAGAUAUUUAUUAAGGAUCUACUAGGUAUGACUGCCACUGCUGUAGGAGUUGGGGUUAUAUUAAUGAAUAAAGCAAAGAACCUGGCCCUCACGGGACUUAGGUUUUGCAGGGGGAGGCCGAUACUAAAUAAUAGACAUAAAAAACAUUGUUAGGAGUUGAGAAGUUCUGUGGGGCAGGGGAGACUGAGUGAAGGGGAAGGGGUCGUAAUUUUUUAAUUUAUUUUUUUGGAGGGGUUGUAAUUUUUAAAAGGAUGGUCAGGAGACAGUGAAUAAGUAUCGGAAUAAAUUGUUCCUGAUUUUUUUUUACAUUUUUGAAGGUGAAGCAAGCCUGUUAUUUUUCACAUCACUUAUCUAGAUUCUUGAAAAAGCACUCUCUAAUAGAGAUUGGUAAAUUAUACUUCACCUCCUUUUGUUUUUUUUUAAUAGAUCUUUAUUGGAGUAUAAUUGCUUCACAAUGCUGUGUUAGUUUCUGCUGUACACCAAAGUGAAUCAGCCAUAUGCGUACAUAUGUCCUCAUAUCCCCUCCCUCUUGAGCCUCCCUCCCAUCCUCCCUGUCCCACCCCUCUAGGUCAUUGCAAAGCACCGAGCUGAUCUCCCUGUGCUAUGAUGCUGCUUCCCACUAGCUAACUAUUUUACAUUUGGUAGUGUGUAUAUGUCAAUGCUACUCUCACUUCGCCCCAGCUUCCCCCUCCCACCCCGUGUCCUCAAGUCCAUUCUCUAUGUCUACAUCUUUAUCCCUGCCCUGCUUUUAAAUAAAGUUUUAUGAAAACAGACACACCCAAUCAUUUACAGAUUUUCUAUGGCUGCUUUUAUGAUACAAUGGCAGAGUUGAGUAGCUGCAACAGAGAUCCUAUGGCCCCCAAAAUUUACUAAACAUAUACUCUCUGGUCCUUUGCAGAAAGUUUGCUGACCUCCCACUCCUUAAAGAUUUAAGGUACUGUCCGUAUUUCACAUUUUAGAUUAUAUGUACUGUACCAUUUUUUAAUUGAAUUUUUUUUGUUUCCCAACAAGAUCAUGUAAGGGAUCUUUUUCAUACUUGCCUUCUUCACAGGGCUAGCAUGUAGCGUCUUCAACAGUUGUAGUAGCAGCUGUCAUGUACUGAAUGACUAGUACUGCCACACUUUACACUGGGCAUAUUAUAGGCAUUUUCUCUAACAAAGUCCUGCUGUGUCUGUUGGUAUCACAAUUUUAGUGAUGUGGAAGUUGAGGCUCAGAGUGGUUGAGUAAUUUGCAGAGUUGUAAAGACAGUAUGUGUCACUAUAGGGAUCCAACCCUAAAUUUAGUCGGUGUCCCUUCCAUUACCAGACCCCACCUGGAGCAAUUAUGAAGCUUUCAUUUUCUAUCAUCAAUGCCCCAUCAUUGUGCUUCCCUCCCUCAUCCCUUUGUUCAUGUCACUCUGUACAGUAUCUCCACCAGCCCACGCUGCCUUUUGAAAUGCUGUUACUUCUUCAAGGUUCAGAGGAACUACCACUCUCCUCUUAUCAGUACUUUCUUCCCCUCAUUCCCUGUCCUUGGCUGUCAGAACUCAAAGGAGUCUGUGCAGCUUAGCAAGCAUUUGCUGAUGUUUGCAUAAGUAGGCCCUGUGUUGGGCACUCUGUGUGUGGGGGGCAGGGAAUGUGUGUUUGGGAGACUGUGUGGUGUGUGAGCAUAGCUGGAUGUGUGUAUGGUGUGUAAUUGGAUAGCCAUGAAUGUGGCUCUGUGUGUGGGAGGGGUGUGUGGUAUGUAUGUGUGUGACUGCAUGUGUGACUGCGUGAUGUGUAUGUGUGUUGUGAGAGUGGCUGAGUGUGUUGGUAUGUGAGUGUGGCUGUGUGUGGUGUGAGCCUAUGUGUGAGACUGUCUGUGUAUGCACUGCUGUGUGUGGUGUUUGAGUGGAAGUGGGUACUGACCAAUCAGAACAGACACAGCCUAGGCCCUCAGUGGGUCUUGGAGGACCCAGAUGUUAAGCCUUUAUUUGCUAGACUAUGGUGAGGUCUGGGGAAGGGAAGGAGUGUACACGUAAGAGGAUUCAAAGCUGGGCCUUUUAAACGAGUAGGAGAGCCUCAAGAAUUAGAGAUUCUGUUCUCUUCAUUUGAAAACAGGCAAAUAGGUGGAUACUUUUAAGGAAGGCUUUUCAGAAACGAUUAAACAUAAUGGGAAUUUCAGUUAACUUAACAGUUAGGCAGAAAAAUCGAACGCAUCCCCAAAUGGAAGCUCCUUUACUUGUAGGUGAAUUCGAGUCUAGACUGUGGUAUUAAGAAAAGUGACAUUGUGCAAAUCAUACAAAUAUCUUUUGGGGCUGGACGAAGCUGGGGCCUUCUUUUUGCUCUGGUGGGUAGCUUUAAAUAUCUGUGGAAGUUUGUCACUUGAAAGUAAGUAAAGGCAUUCUAUCCGAGUAUUCCAGUUAAUUGAGGUUAUUUCUGACGGAUGGUUCCAAAGGGAUGGUGUAUACCCACCCCUUCAACCAGGACGAAAGAUUCCCUGGGGUCUGGCCUGACCCAAGGAAUAAAGGUGUUGGCCAUUUGUGUUCAUUCUCAGGGUUCAGAGAUGGGCAGUGAGAAGGAGCAGAGCCCAGAACGGCACCUGCCUGAGGAAGGGGAACGGGGUAAUAAGCCAUGGAGAGUGGAUGACUCAGAGGGUUCUUGGAUCCCAGAUGGGGAGAAAGAGCAUGGGCAAGCAAGCCUGCCAGAGGGGCCACAAGGGCUCUAUCCAGAGAAGCCACCGCAGGACGUCACUGUCCCCGCUGGAGAGCCAGAGGACCUCUCUGCUCAUCCGAGGCACGAGGCUGAUGAGAAGCCCUUUAUAUGUGCCCAGUGUGGCAAAACCUUCAAUAAUACCUCCAACCUGAGAACACACCAGCGGAUCCACACAGGCGAGAAACCCUACAAGUGUUCUGAGUGUGGCAAGAGCUUCUCGAGAAGCUCCAACCGCAUCCGGCACGAGCGCAUCCACCUGGAGGAGAAGCACUAUAAGUGCCCCAACUGCGAGGAGAGCUUCCGGCGGCACUCGGACCUCACCACGCACCAGCAGGACCACCUGGGCAGGUGGCCCUUCCGCUGCGACAUCUGCGGCAAGAGCUUCAGCCAGAGCUCGGCGCUGGCCGUGCACUACCGGACCCACCUGGAGCCGGCGCCCUACAUCUGCUGCGAGUGCGGGAAGAGCUUCAGCAACAGCUCCAGCUUCGGCGUGCACCACCGCACCCACACGGGUGAGCGGCCCUAUGAGUGUGCCGAGUGCGGGCGGACCUUCAGCGACAUCUCCAACUUCGGGGCGCACCAGAGGACCCACAGGGGCGAGAAGCCCUACCGGUGCACGCUGUGCGGGAAGCACUUCUCCCGCAGCUCCAAUCUCAUCCGCCACCAGAAAACUCACCAGGGAGAGCAGGCUGGGAAAGAGUCCAGCUGAAGAGGGCGAGGAAGAGAGAGAGCAGAGCGUGGGACCCCAACCUAGUGCAGAAAGAUCUUUAGGAUCUCCUGCUGCCCCCUUGACCUCAAGCCCUUCCUCCCACUUUGGAGAAUGGUUUUCUGUUGCCUCUGAAGCCAGGAUCUCCAGGAAGUCCUGAGAAGGGACUCUGAGUAAAAAUCUUCACUUUUUUUCCAGGCCAAUUUCUUGUGGUAGAAAGUCAGAGGACCCCGUCUUGGCUUCGCCUCCUUGGGGUGAAAGAGAAAUAAGGUAGGCUUAGGACACGCUCAUAUCAUUUGGGCAACUGUCCCCUGGCCUUUGAGGAAGUACCUGUGAGGUGGGCAUCACUGUCUGGAGGUCCUCUGUAUAGUAUGUGGACCGCUUAGGGCACACUGCGGUGGUCCACUAGUUCCCACCUGCUGUGCCUCAGCUGGGCUGGGAGGAGCAGGGGAGAAAGGGGCCCCCUUGGCCCAGAGAAGAGGUCUGAGGUCCUACUUUCGGAAUGAAAGGGAAGCCCUCAAGGAGCCAUGAUCCAGGGACCCUCACACUCCCUCCUGUUUGUGACUUGUCACCCCCACCCCAACGUGCAUCUGUUUCCCCAGGGUUAGCAGUAAAAACCCUUUAAUGAAAAGGACCCGUGUACUUAUUUGGGGGCAUCGAAGAAGUGGGGAGGUGGUUGCACCACAGCCACUCUGGAAGGGAGUUGAAUUCCAAGAAAGAGUGGGUGGCUGCUCUGAAAAGCAAAAGGAAGCAGCUGACUCUGAGGUCUGUGAGGAGGAAGGGGAAAGGGAAGGAAGUAAUACUGAGCAUGCACUCUAUGCCCUGGAUUCUGCAGGUCACUUUCACAUUCUUUAUCUCAUUUAGUUGUCGAAGCAACCGCAAGGGAGUAAGAUGAGGCAAGUGAGGAAAGGUGAAGUCACUCGCUGUGAAGUCGCACAGCAGGUGGUAUUAUUGCCUUAGAAGAUCACAAUUUUACAACCAUCAUGUAAUGAAUAGAUUCAGAGCACAGUCUCCAGAUGCGCAGGCCCAGCGGCCAUGGCUCACAGGCCCAGCCGCUCCACGGCAUGCGGGAUCCUCCCAGACGGCAGGCACAAACCCGCGUCCCCUGCAUCGGCAGGCGGACUCUCAACCACUGCACCACCAGGGAAGCCCCCCAAAAUGGAAUUGUUUAACAGAGUUUAAUUGUUCUGCCUGAGUUACCCGAACAAUAAUAAAAGAUCUCCUUAAGCCUAAUCAUUAUUUUUAUAUAAAUAUAAUCAAUUUAUAAAUAGAAUAAUAUAUUUGUAAGUUGAACUUUUAAGUUUUAAAUAAAGCCAAGGUUUUGAGUUUGUAGAUGAAAAAAUUUAAUAUUAAUUUAGAACUUAAAAUGCUGUAGUCUUUUGUGCUCACAAAACCUGCCCUCAGACAUGAAAAAAAAAUCACAUCAACACUAUUAUUAUCUGCAUUUAACUGAUGAAGAAAUGGAAGCUCAGAAAGGUUAAGAAAACAGGAAUCAACUCCAUGCGUGUCUGGCUUUAAAGCCUGUGCUCUUAACCAGUGUGCAUGUGGUUUCCCUGAUGGAUCAACCUCCUGAAAAGUCAAAUGACUUUGGAAUAAUUAAGUAAACUAUUUUGAAGUGACUUAAGCAAUGUCUGCUCAUAUGCAUUAUAGGUUGACUUCACAGCUAAGCGGUCAAUUUCAGCUCAAGGAAAGAGACUUUACUGGCUCAUGUGACAGAAAAUUCUGGCUUCAGGCAGGGUUGCUACAGACUCAAACCCUGCUUCUCUCUGUCCAUCAGUCUGUGUUGAGUCCAUUCAGACACAGGCUUUCUUGUGGUGCAAGAUGACUGGUGCUAUUCCUCUGGGCUCAAGGACAGCUGGAAAAUGUGGCUGCCUCUCUCCCAGUGUUCCCACAAAGAAAUCAUUGCAUCUCACUGACUCUGAUUAGCUCAUGGGUCUAUUCUGGAACUAAUUACUGUGACCGAGAAAAUGUGAUGUUUUAAAUAGCCAUGCCUGGCGUCUCAGGUUGACCCCUAGAGUUGGAGGUGGCGUCAAAUCCACCACAAACACGUGGGCUGAGAGUAGGGAGGGAGCAGUCCUGGAGAAGGGUGAUUGGAUGACAGUCAGAAAAAACAGAUGUCCAUUACAGUGGGCAAACUUCUCUCUUACUUAAGUACCUCACUAUAUCAUUCACAUGUACUGCUGACAUAGUCUCUUCCUUUUGGCCAGGAAUCACGAUACAACACUAUAACUUAACUGUGUAUCCUUUAUUCUGCCCAUUAUUGCAUUUUGAGAGCAGGGAUAUCUGUCUUUCCUUUCAUCAGUGACCAAAAUAAAAGCUGUUCAGGCAUUUAUGUAAAUGAAUGAAACCCAGAUUACAGGAGCCUGGGUUUGUUACCUCAGAAGAGAAAUAAGGAAGAUGGGGAAGUGUUUUUAUGGUAUUGUGGGUAGUAGCUAUGUAGUAUAAGGAAGGUAAGUCAAAUUCACCAGACACUUAUUGAUAACUUCUUUGUGUUAGGCUGAUUCCUGUUGGGGACAGUGUUCCAGUGGCCUUCAAGGAGCAACCAGCCUAGAGGAAGAGACAGAUGGAAGGUGUUGGUUACUGUGAUUUGGUUUCGGCCCAGAUCCAUGUUAGAAUGGGCCACCAUAUAGCCCUUGGUAAUGGGUUGAGUCCUAGAGAGGGUUGGGGUUAUCAAGUGUAAUGUUGAUUGGGUUUAAGGUUUUUAGUUUCCAUUUAUUGAGCACCCCCGUCAAGUUACUUAUACCCAAGGCCUGGGGCCUGGGCAGUAGGCAGGUCAAAAGGCUCCCAGAGUAGGCCCAGGUCCUGGCUCAGGGUUAAAACCACCACUUCAGAGUGUGAAGAACCUAGCCACAAGAUACCCACAAAACCACAGACAUAUGGGGCAAAUUGAGACAAAGCAGAGACCAUGCUUCCAGACACCCAAAGGAAUGGAGCAUUGUCCCAGAGACAGCAUGUCUACAGACAUGGAAAGGGUACUGCUUAGUUCCAGAGCGGGGGUGUGCAGGGUGCCUGAGCUUGAGACUUUGUGAAAUAGAGUUGAUCACACUUUUUGCUUUGGCUGUUCAGAGGAAGGACAUCUUUAUCAAACUGCACCCAUUCUGAAAACCUGACUGUGGUCAUUCAGAAGCCAAGGCUUGCAUAGGAAGUGGGGGAAAACAGGAGUAGAGCUAGAGAAGGAGCCAUUCAGGCUCUAUGAGAGAACAGCUCAUUCCUUUUCCCUCCUACCUUCCUGGAGGGAGAGGCUAGUGAUAGAAGGCAGCCCACCAUGAUACUCAUUUCUCAGGGUAUGUGGGUCUGAGGUAAACAUGGAGAACUUCUUAAGGGUGAACAGGGAAUAGCCUGCCCUCCUGGUCAAAUGGUAACCCUGCUGCUGUUACAUAUGGGCCCAGGACGGCUGCCCAUCACUUAUCACUCAAGGCCUGCCAGACAGUUCCCUUGACCCAGAUGCCCCAGGUAGGGGAUGGAAGAGAACCUGAAUAGGGAGCUGGUACCCUGUCAGCACAACAGGAGCAGAGUUAGAAAACACAACCCCAAGGGAAGCCAGAGGAAUACUAAUCUGGACCCUCUAGAAAAGUUGUCUUCAAACUGGGUAUGCAUACCCCUGGGGGUUCACAAAAACUUUCCAAGAGGUAUGUGAGCAUAUUUAGCUUACAGGGAAUCAAUGUAAAGAUCCUCAGCUUCCAGGUAUACUCUUUACAAAAAUUAAUCUGACUAAGAGGAGUGAUGACAGCAAGAUGGUAAAAUAAGAAGCUCAGACUCUCUUCCCCAACAGAGACAUUGACGUAACAAUAAUAGACAGUCCAAAAAGCCUUUAUGAGAAUUCCAGAAACCAGUGAAGAAACUCACAGUACCCAGGCAAACUAAAAGCCAAGAACAGCUACACUGAAACAGAUAAGAGGAACCAUUUCAUUUCACUCACAAUAGCCCUUCUCCCAAGCUGGCACGGCUUGGAGCACUCAGGAGUAGAACAGAAAUCAUAGAGUGAGUGCUCUCAGACCACAGUGGAAUUAAACUAGAAAUCAGCAACAGAAAAAUGGCUAGAUAGUCCCAAAAUAUAUAGAAUUUAAAGUAUUAAAUAAACUUUAAAUAACACAAAACUUCUAAACAACACACAGGCCAAAGAAGAGAUAUCAAGAGAAAUUUUUAAAUGUUUUGAACUAAAUGAAAAACACAACUUAUCAAAAUUUGUGGGAUGUAGCAAAAGAAGUGCUUUGAUGGCACUGAAUAACAUAUAUUAGAAAAGAGGGAAACUCUAAAUUCAAUAAUCUAAGCUCUACCUUUGGAAGUUUAGAAAAAGAAGAGAAAACUAAAUCAAAAGUAAGCAGAAGAAAAGAAAUAAUAAAAAUUAGAGCAGAAAUCAAUGAAGUUGAAAACAGGAUAUCAAUACAGAAAAUGAUCAAAACCGAAAGCUGGUUCUUUGAAAAGAUGAAUAAAGUUGAUAAGCCUCUAGCUAGGCUAACUGAGAAAAAAGAGGACACAAAUUUCUAAUAUCAGAAGUGAAAAAGGGGGCAUCUGAUCCCAUGACCAUUAAAAGGAUAAUAAAGGAAUAUGAGCAACUCUAUGCCCACAAAUUUAAUAAUCUAGAUGAAAUGGGCCAAUUCCCUGAAAGAUAUAAACUAUCAAAACUCACAUAAGGGGCUUCCCUGGUGGCGCAGUGGUUGGGAGUCCGCCUGCCGAUGCAGGGGACGCGGGUUCGUGCCUGGUCCAGGAAGAUCCCACGUGCCGCAGAGCAACUACUAAGCCUGUGCUCUAGAGCCUGUGAGCCACAACUACUGAGCCCGCGUGCCACAACUAGUGAAGCCCACGCACCUAGAGCCCGUGCUCUGCAAUAAGAGAACCACUGCAAUGAGAAGGCUGCACACCACGACAAAGAGUAGCCUCCACUUGCUGCAACUAGAGAAAGUCUGUGCACAGCAACGAAGACCCAAUGCAGCCAGAAAUAAAUAAUAAUAAAUAAAUAAAUAUUUUAAAAAUCUUUAAAAAAUACUGUGUAUAUGUCAAUCCCAAUCUCCCAGUUUAUCCCUUCUCCCCUUUUCCCCCUGGUAGCCAUACACUUAUUUUCUAUGUCUGUGACUCUAUUUCCGUUUUGUAAAUAAGUUUAUUUGUACCAUUUUUUUAGAUUCCACAUAUAAGCAAUAUCAUAAGAUACUUGUCUUUCUCUGUCUGACUUACUUCACUCAGUACGACAGCCUCUAGGUCUAUCCAUGUUGCUGUAAAUGGCAUUUGAUUGCCGCUUCUGAUCACAGAGGUGCAAAGAGAAGGGCAGCUAUUGUUGUUGUAUCUUCCCCCACUGUCACAAGCCACUCCCCCUCUGGUUCAAGUGACUUCCAGGUGAUUUAAAGGACCAGCACCCUUUUCCUGCCCUUCAUUUUUCUUUUUCUCCUUUUGGAGCCCAGAUAUUAAAGACUAGGAGAUUCAAAAACAACUGCAUAUAUGGGGAAAAUUAGAAUGUGACUGUACAUACCCAGGGAAAGAUGCAGGUCCAGAAAAGACCUGAGGAGACCUUAAGUUUACAUCUCAGGCUGAUCUGUGGUGCAGAGAUAGCCUACAACAAUAAAACAAAACAAACAAACAAAUCCAUCAAGUCCUGGGGAUGGGAGAGAAUAUGAUUUCCAAAGUUACCACAUUAUUAGAUUCAAAUGUCCAGUUUUCAACAACAAUAAAAAACCACAAGGCAUACAAAGAAACAAGAUAUCAUGGCCCAUUCAAAAAAUAAAAUAAUUUUAAAAACCAACAAAAACUGUCUCUGAAAAAAGCCUGAUGGCGAAUCUACUAGAAAAGACUUAAAACACUUGUGUUAAAGAUGCUUAAAGAACUAAAGGGAGAUGUAGAGAAAGUCAAGAAAGUAAUCUAUGAGCAAAAUGGAAAUAUCAAUAAAGAGAUAGAAAACCUAAUAAGAAGCCAAAAAGAAAUUCUGGAGCCAGAAGUUAUAAUAACUGAAAUGAAAAAUUCACUAGAGAGAUUCAAAGUCACAUUUGAGCAGGCAGAAGAAAGAAUCAGUGAACUUGAAGAUAGGACAAUAGAAAUUGUUAAGUCUGAGGAACAGAAAGAAAAAAGAUUAAAGAAAAGUGAACAGAGGGCUUCCCUGGUGGCGCAGUGGUUGAGAGUCUGCCUGCCGAUGCAGGGGACACGGGUUCAUGCCCUGGUCCGGGAAGAUCCCACAUGCCGCGGAGCGGCUGGGCCUGUGAGCCAUGGCCACUGAGCCUGCACAUCCGGAGCCUGUGCUCUGCAACGGGAGAGGCCACAGCAGUGAGAGGCCCGCGUAACGCCAAAAAAAAGAAAGGUGAACAGAGCUUAAGGGAACUGUGGGACAACAUCAAGCAGACUGAUUGUAUGCAUUGCAGGAGACCCAGCAUGACGAGAGAGAGAAAGGGACAGAGAGAAAAUUUGAAGAAAACAAUGUUUGAAAACUUCCCAAAUUUGAUGAAAAAUAUGAAUAUAAACAUCUAACAAGCUCAAUGAACUCCAGGUAAGAUGAACUCAGAGACUCAUACUGAGAUAUAAAAGCAGCGGGAAAGAAGCAAAUCAUCACACAAAAGUGAGCCUCAAUAAGAUUUUUGGCAGAUUUCUCAUGAGAAACUUUGGAGGCCAGAAGGCAGUGGGCCAACAUAUUCAAAGUGUUCAAGGGAAAAAACUGUGAACCAGAAUCCUAUAUCUGGCAAAACUGGCCUUCAAAAGUGAGGGAGAAAUUAAGACAUUCCCCAAUAAACAAAAGCUGAAGAAAUCAAUCUCUAUACUUGAUCUGCAAGAAAUGCUCAAGGGAGUCCUGCAAUGUGAAAUACAAGGACAUUAAACAGUAACUUGGAGCCAUAUAGAGAAAUAGAAAUCUCAACGGAAGUAAAUACAUGGGCAGUUACAAAAGCUAGUAUUAUUGUAACAAUGGUUUGUAACUGCAUAUUUUGCUUUCAACAUGAUUUAAGAGACUAAUACAUUUAAAGAAAAAAAUCUAAUUAGUCUAAAAGCUAGUAGUCUUGUAACUGGUUUGAAACUCCAAAUUUCAUUUUUGACAUAAUUUAAGAGACUAAUAAAUUUAAAAGAAUUAUUAGUUUAUGUUUUGGGGCACACAGUGUAUAAAGAUGUAAUUCUGUGGCAUCAACAACCAAAAGGGGUGGGGAUGGAGAUGGAAAGGAGCAGAGUUUUUGCAUCUUAUUGAAGUUAAGUUAUUAUAAAUUAAAAUUAGAAUGUUAUAAGUUAAGGAUGUUCAAUGUAGUUCCCAUGAUAAUCACAAAGAAAAGAACUACAGAAUAUAAACAAAAGAAAAUGAGAAAGGAAUGCAAAUGUUUUGCUACAAAUAAAUCAACUAAACACAAAAGAAGACAGUAACACAGAAAAUGAGGAACAAAAAGCUGUGGAGCAUAUAGAAAACAAGUAGCAAAAUGACAGAAGUAAGUCCUUCCUUAUCAGGAAUUACUUUAAAUGUAAAUGGAUUAAGUUCUCUAAUCAAAAGACAGAGACUGGCAGAAUGGAUAGAAAACACAUAAUCCAACUAUAUGCUGCCUACAAAAGACUCACUUUAUUUUAUUUAGUUUUUAUUUUUUUUAACUUUUUAUUUUAUAUUGGAGUAUACAUAUACAUGUAUCCAUUCUCCCCCAAACUCCCCUCCCAUCCAGGCUGCCACAUAACAUUGAGCAGAGUUCCCUGUACUAUACAGUAAGGUCCUUGUUGGUUAUCCAUUUUAAAUAUAGCAGUGUAUACAUGUUCAUCCCAGACUCCCUAACUAUCCCUCCCCCCACUUUCCCCUUUGGUAACCAUAAGUUUGUUUUCUAUGUCUGUGAGUCUGUUUCUAUUUUGUAAGUAAGUUCAUUUGUAUCAUUUCUUUUUAGAUUCUGCAUAUAAGGGAUGUCACACAAUAUUUCUCUUUCUCUGUUUGACUUACUUCACUCAGUAUGACAAUCUCUAGGUCCAUCCAUGUUGUUGCAAAUGGCAUUAUUUCAUUCUUUUUAAUGACUGAGUAAUAUUCCGUUAUACAUAUGUACCACAUCUUCUUUAUCCAUUCCUCUGAAAAGACUCACUUUAGAUCCAAAGACACAAAUACAGUAGAUUGAAAGUGAAAGGAUGGAAAAAGAUAUUCCAUGGAAAUAGUAAGCAAAAGAGAGCAAAAAGACAAAAUAGACUUUAUAUCAAAAAAGGUUACAGAUUACUAGGGGUAUUAGCAGAGGUAAGGGUGUAAGAAAAAGCAGGCCAGAGAGUACAGAGUUUUAAAUGGCAGGCUAGGUAUUCUUUCUGCAGUGUGCAGUCAUCAAGGCCAUCCAGCAGGGAGGAGCCAUAAUCCUAGACCUGAGUGUGAAGGAUGAAAUGAGAAGAGUGUGGAGGAAGUCAACUUGGUUGAGAAGUUAUUUCAGUUUACUCAGAGAACAAUAUACCUUUUUCCAUAAAUGUCCUGAUAUAAAAUACCCCUAAUAGGGCCUGCCUCUGAAAAUAUGUCUCAAAGAGUUAGACAUGAUUUUUGAAAGUAUAAAAUGAAAGGCUAAAGCUUGGCCCAAGCUCCAGCACCUAUUGCCCCAAAAUAAAAGAACAAACAAAUGUACAGAUUUUGACCAAGUUGCUUUUGUUCUAAUUGGUUUUUAAGAGAGCCAGCAUAGGUUGGCUGUAUAAUAAUACAAUAAUAAUAAAACACAACAUUGUAAAUCAACUACACUUCAAUUAAAAAAAGAAUUAAAGGGCUUCCCUGGUGGCGCAGUGGUUGAGAGUCUGCCUGCUGAUGCAGGGGACACGGGUUCGUGCCCCGGUCUGGGAGGAUCCCACAUGCCGCGGAGCGGCUGGGCCCGUGAGCCAUGGCCGCUGAGCCUGUGCGUCCGGAGCCUGUGCUCCGCAACAGGAGAGGCCACAACAGUGAGAGGCCCGCGUACCGCAAAAAAAAAAAAGAAUUAAAAACAAAUAAACAAACAAAAUGAUUAUAGUAACCAUUGAAUGAGCACUUGCUAUGAGCCACGUACUGUAAGUCUUUCCUCAUUCAAUACUCACAAACCUGUGAUGUAGAUUCACUUAUUAUCAUCAUUUCAUAGAUAAAGAAACUGAGUCUAAGAGAGGUCAGAGUCAAUAUGCAGCAUUACUUAGAUUAAAAUGCUGUGCUUUCUAUUUCAAAAUCAUGUCUUUACCCAUUGCACUUCAUGUGCUUAAGCAGCUGUGCUUGGCAGACAGCGUAUAGCAUUGCCCCUAGGGAUGAUGAUGUGACAAGAAAAGAACUGCUUGACUUCUUUGUGUCUUGAUUUGUUCAGCAAUAAGUGGAAAUAAUAACUGCCUUUUUAUCAGGCAGAGUAACGGGAGAUAAGACUGUUUUUCUCUCUUGGUUUGAUUGCAAAAGAGGCCAUGUCCCCCCAUAGGUGUGAAUGGAAAUAAGAGGCCACUUACAGAGUGUGGUUUGUGUUGGUGGCCCAAGUGCAGCUGCCUCAUCUAUACAAUGGGUAUAAUAAUAAUAGUGUCCACCUCCUAGGAUGUUUGUAAGGAUCCAAUGUAUUCAUACAUGUCACAGAUUUAGGACAGUGCUUGACAAAUAGCACUCGCUAUCUAAAUACUAGCCAUUACUGGUAUUAAAGAUAGAAACUUGGCUACCAGGGAUCACUGUGGCCAUAAAUAUAUGUAACCUCCAAGCAGAGAUAGGGAGAAGCCUCACUCACCCUGGCUUUUUCUCAGUAGGCAUUUAGUUAGGAAGAUUAGCUAGCUAUAAUCUUGGCCAAUAGUAAGCAGAGCGCAAAGAAAAUGACACGGAUGGAGAAAUAACGUUAUCAGAAAAUAAAAAUAGCUCCUAAUUUUUACCAUUUCUACAAUCAAGCACCACAUUAAGAGUAUACCAACUUGGUCUUGCCUAAUCCUCACAGUUCUGUGGGGUAGGUGUUAUUAACUGUGUCCUCUGUCAGCCUCCACUCCCACCUCUGUAAAAAGACAAUAGAAGGUGAUGGGAGAGGUGGGGGGAGGGUGGUCCUGCUGGGCUCCUGGCCGAGCAGCUUCUCUUGGCUCUCUCCGAGGCAGGAAGCGCCUCUUCCACAGGACAUCAGUGUAAGCCUGAAUAACAAAAAGAAUUUCUCCCUCCCAAGCCAUGGCACAUCAGUUGCACAGAAAUACCACUUUGGGAAACAGUCUUCAGGAGAGCCUCGAUGAGCUCAUACAAUCUCAACAGAUUACCCCCCAACUUGCCCUUCAAGCUUUACUUCAGUUUGAUAAGGCUGUAUAUUCAGUGUUGGUACAGAAGGUCAGGAACAGAGUCAAUUCCAGGCCUAUGUAUGUUUGGCUACCUUCCCUAAAGAGUUACUGAGAUUUCAAACGUCUGAAACAUUAUCUGCAGGAUUGAAGGGCUCUCUAAAUACCUACAGAUUCUGCGAUAAUGUAUGGACUUUUGUAUUGAAUGAUGUUGAAUUCAGAGAGGUGACAGAACUUGAUAAAGUGAAAAUUGUAGCCUGUGAGUGGGACCUCUCUGGUGGACAAGUGGCUAAGACUCUGUGCUCCCAAUGCAGGGGGUCCGGGUUCGAUCCCUGGUCAGGGAACUAGAUCCCACAUGCCGCAACUAAGAGUUGUGCAUGCCGCAACUAAAGUUUCCUCAUGCGGCAACCAAAAUAGAUCCCGCAGGCUGCAACUAAGGGUCCUGCAUGCCACAACAAAGAUCCUGCACGCAGCAAUGAAGAUCCCAUGUGCUGCAACUAAGACCUGGCGCAGCCAAAUAAAUAAAUAAAUAACUUGUAAAAGUGUAGCCUGCGAUGGUAAAAAUUCUGGCUCCAGUACUACAGAAUGAAUAGAAAAAAACUGGCUUUUUAAUGCCAUCCUGUUAUUGUUCAUCUCUUUUCGAAGAGAAGCAUAGGAGACUUUUUAAAAAAUUUAUUCUAGCAUUGCAGAAAUGACUACACUGUGCCAUACUAUCAGAGAAUUCCAGUAGAAAGAAGCUUAUAACUCUGUACCCUCUUACAUUACAUUUAUUAUACAUCAUGAAGAAACAUAACUUUCUUUUUAAUGACACAUCAAACACUGUUGCCUUCCUAAGACUAUUCUUUAAUAAAUUCAUUUUAAAACAAACAAACAAAAAGUGAUGGGUAUUCUUGCCUGGGCAAUAUGACCCCAGAGCCCACACUUCUAACCUCUACCCUCAGCUUCUUUGAGGGUUUACCACUGGGAACCAGACGUCAAGGUGGGGGGUCAACAGGCUGGGGUGGAGGUGGGGGAACUAAGACACGCCAUAAUUACACCACAGUCUGCAGUAGGGUUUAAGGAAAUAAAUUAUAGGCCCCCAGUACUUUGAGUUUCCUCGUUUAAAAUCAGAUUUUAAACCCUAGGUCACGAGUAUCAAUGGUACUUUCUGAGAAACUCUGAUUGAAGCCUGUUGACACAAGUGCUUUUGAAAGUUCAAAACACCAAUAGAUCUUGUACCCUCUGCUUAGAAAGAAAGGAGGGAGGACAGAGAAUAUCUACUUCCCAGGUUUUAUAAAGUUUAGGUUAAAUUUAUACUUAUUCUUGUUUUUUUGGGUUUUUUUUUUUUUGCUUUUUAAUUGCUGUAUUAACUUCACAUUUUCCAUGCAAAUGGGUGAAACUCUCAAUCUGAGUUUGUUGACAGAAACUCAGAUUGGGUGCCAAGGCAAUCUCCAAUUAGAAGCUGGUAACACAGAACCCACCUGACAUGGAAAUUACGUAAGGUUCACAGCAAAUGGAUCAGAAAAGGUGUAUCAGGAAAAUGCAAGAAAAAAGAGAACAACAGUGGGAAUCACAGUACUAAUCUCAUGGAAAAUGGCAGGAGUCAAUGCAUAAGGCAAAAUUCAUCAUGAUGGUCAUGGUGAUUAGAGAGCUCCCCCAUAAAGAUAUGUAGACAAUUCCUCAACUGCAGCUCCCUAAGUUUUCUCCUGAUUUCGCUCAUCUCUUCAUGAACAUUUCCAUGUAAUCUCCAUCUCCACCCAUCCCAUCUUUGACCUGCCUAUUGGGUAUGGCCCAUCAGAAAUUAGGGGCAAGUUGGCGAGCCUGUCCCCGUCUAUUAUUUCCUGCCGGCUGGUGGCCUUCGCCCCCUCCCAAAAGGCGGUUUUCCUUUCCUUUUUGCACAGGCUGCUCCAUUUCUUCGUUUCCCUGGGCCUUCCUUGCUGUCUCCUGCUCCCGAUUCCCGCCACAAGUGCGCCGCCCUGAAACUUAGUACUUAUUCUUUAUACUUAUUUCUAUCUUGCAGAGCAGUAGAAAUUUCCAAGACUCGUUACUGGGAAAGGCAAUGAAAUUUCUGUAAGAGUCAGAGGAAAGAGCUUGCACUGGGAACCCUGCACCAGGUGGUUUAGGAGAUGCCGACCAUCAGAGCCAGAGAUGACCUUGAGAAGGGAAGAGAUCCCUGGGAAUUCACAGAAACCUGGGGGGAUGAAGUGUCUCUUCCCACCCCACAUGGCAACGCCCCCAUGCUGCCCGGGCACCCCAUACCUCUGCACCUUCGCUUUGCUGCUGCUUCGCCUUCUGCCUGGUGAGCUGUUGGUCACUUUCUAGAGAACGCGCCAUCCCUCCUCUGGAGAGCCUUCAUAACCUCUUCAUUACUGCAGUGGUUCCCAAACAGGGGCAAUUUGCUCCCCCCCCCGCAACGUCUGGAGACAUUUUUGGUUGUUACACUGGCAGGGGUAGAGGCCAGGGAUGCUGCUAAACGUCCUACAGUGCAUGGGACGGCCUCCGUAAUGCCAAAGAACUAUCUGGCCACAAAUGUCUAUGGUGUUGAGAAAAACCCUCCUCUAUGGGCCAGGUACCCUCUCCCUCCCCCUUGUCCGCUUACACCAGCCUGUCCUUGUUUCCAUCACCGCCCCGGACAGCUAACUAUGAGGCACUGUGUGCUCCCUCUAGACUAAACUCCAACAGGGGGACAGUCUGGUUCAUCUGGGUCCCAGCACAGGGCUGGAGGCAGAAAGCAUUGUCACUAAUUGAUGAACAGGCCAUGAACCGGAGAGGCUUAAGAGAUGACGGAGCUGUGGCAGGGUGUCGUGGUGUAAGAGGCUGUGCAACUGUGCGUGGGAAACUGGGACGUCUGUGCGUGACUCAGCUUGAAGUAAGAGCAGGAGAGAGCAGCAGGGUAGCAGUUGUUGGCAUGUAAAAGGGUGUUUCGGUGCCUGUAAGUGUAACUGCCAUUUCUUCUGUGGUGGUCAAGGAUGUAGAGUGGAGCCAGACUCCCUGGAUUUAAAUCCCAGCUCUGCCACUUACUAGCUGUGUGUCCUUGGUUUAAUUGCUUAACAUCUCUGUGCCCUAGUUUUUUAUAAAACAGGGAUUAUGGUGUCUCCCUAAUGGGGUUAUAUUAUAUGGAACAAUUGAAUUAUUGUUUCUAAUGCAUUUGGAACAAUGCCUGGCACGUGACAAGUGAGCUGUAAGCUGUGAGAGUCCGUAUAAGCGGAGAUGGGCGAAGGGGAGAGGGGGCCCAGAGCCCUUUGGAUCUAGGCAGAGAUAAGGAGAGGCUGCCUGGAGCCUGGGCUGGGAAGCCCAUCUUGCCUCCAGUACUUUCACUCACCAAGCAGGUCGUCCUGGGCAGACCUCGCCUGCUCUCUAGACCAAGUUCUUCCUUUGGCAAACAAGGAACGUUGAGCCUGCGGACUGUCAGGCCCCUUCCAGCCCAAGCGGUCUGGUUUCUGAGGAUGCCUCAGACAUGCCUGACACUGUCCCUUGGCCAGGAACUCAUGGUUCCUCAAUGGCCUUUAGUCACCUCUGUUGGCAGCUCAGCCGUUUGGGGAGGGGAGAGGUAGUUCUCUCCACUCAGUAUGAUGGUCAGGAUGCCCUUGCUCAUUUAUCUGCUCUCUGUGUGACUGGGCUCCCCUCCUACCCUGCAGAGGCCGGAGGCCUGGCAGGGAUGUCGUCAUCAGGUGUGAGGCCUGGCGUCCAUCUGUAACUCAGCCUCUCCCUCUCCAGGUGACCUCUCCCAGCCUCGGUGCCUCCUUUAUGAGGGGAAGAUAAGCCUGGCCCCACCCACCUUGUGGGGCUGCUGUGAGGAGGCAACUUAUUAGGAGGUGCUUUGUAAACAUUUAAGAUGAUGUUAUGAUUAAUUAACCACUUCCAAGAGGAAGCCCUUUGGGGCCUGUUUUAUGGAGGAGACCAAGCUUCCGGUAAUUAACAGCAGUACUGGCACCCUCACCUCUAGUGGGACAAAGUCUCCAUUGGCAAGUAGGCCAACCUGGCCAGCGCAGUGCAGUUUCCUAAGGCAAGUGCCUCUAGACAGACAAGGUGGGUCGGCCUGGUCAGCGCGGGCCGUUAGCAAUUCCCCAUCAGUGGAACACUUCAUGCCACCGCAUCUCUGCACAAGCCGUUCCUAUUGCCUGGGAUACCCGCCCCUCCUUCCCUCUGGGGCCGAUUUGCCCUCAAGGUCUAGCACAGCUGCUAACUCCUUCGUGAGGCCCCUUCUGUCUCUGCCAUCAGCCCUACCCCCGGCAUUAGUCAUUCCUUUCUCUUCGUUCCCAUAGCACCGAGAAGCCCUCCGUUAAUAAUACUGCGGCUCUUCCCAAGGGGUCUCCCCUCCCCACCCCGCCUCUGCACUCUGGAUGGUUGAAUCUCUGGAGGGCAGGGACAGGGCCCAGCUCUGACCAUGUGUCAGGCAGCUCCCUGAGGGCCAGGGUGAGCCUGCGGUGUUCUCGGCUCUAUCCCUCCCCCCAUCUAGGGCAGUGCCUGGCAUAGUCCACGUUGAGUGACGGUGUUGGCACAAUCACUGGGCCCUCCCAGGACAAUGGCUAUGGUGCCUCCCGAGGCAUGGCUGUCGGCUCUGAGCCCCGCUUUCAUCUCUUCCUCUAGUGUUGUCCUCUCCCUUCUUCACCUGUUAAGUUUAUCCUGUUUGCUCUGGGUUGGGAAAACUACGGCCAGGCUUAUGAGAAGUGUCUGUAAAGUACAAGAGUAAACAGGCGGAGGAGUGCCUGAGCACACGCCCCCAGAAACGCCACGCAGGUCUCUCACCUCAGUCCUCAGAGGCCGGCUGCCCAAGUGACCUUUGGACAGGUGCCCGCAAAUGCUCCUAUAAAUGUUUACCACUGGGCCGUCUGUGCUGCCCGGAUCCCCUGCCCGCUGCCCCGCCCAUCUUCCACUGUAAUUCUCACCUUUCGCCUGUUUCUGAUUAGAUGGGAAGUCCCAAGAAUUAGAGAACAUCACUCUGGGUUUGUCCACAACUGCACCCUUGGAAGUGUCUUAGUCCCUUCUGGCCAAAUGCGAUCCCUUUGCCUCUGCUCCACCACCACCGGUGUCCUGAAGGACCCCCCCCCCCUUAUCUUCACCCUCUCCUCCUCUGCUGAUUCCUUACAAGCUGUUUAAAACUGAAGUCUUCGUAUUAAAAAAACCUUAGCCAGACAACCCCUCUGGCGACCACCCUUCUUUCUUCCUUCUCUACCGAGUCCCUUGGAAGGGCUGUCUCUGCUCUCCCCCAUCUCCCUUCUCCCUGUUCAACCCACUGCAGGGAGGUCUCUACCCACAGGACUCCACUUGGACAGCCUUUGCCACAGCAGGGUCACCGGAGGGUCUUUUGCCUUUGGCAAUAUGGAGCUGAUCUGCCCAGGUCAGCCUCCGGAGCACCAGAUAGCAUCCCUUCACUCCGUCCACAUCUGAGUGCCUGUUCCUAUGGACGGGCACUGCUCUAGGGACGAAGGACAUGGCCAUGGACGCUCAUCCUCAGGCGCUUCCAUUCUUCCUCUGGCUCAGAAGGGUCUUGUCUCCUGGCGUAGAGGUGCCAGCUCUCCUCCUCCUUCCCAGGAUCUUCUGUCAGUGGGUGUGCUCUCCAGGGCUUGACACUUACUUCUCUUUUUACUCUGCAGUCCCUCUGGGAGAUCCUUCUCUAUCACUAUGGAUACUGGUGACCAACCUAUCGGUCUUCUCCCACUGACUACCCUCCAAAGAAACAGACCCCCGUGUCCAAGUGCUUGUCCCGCCGUGUCACCAAACCUCAGUUCCUGAAUAUCCCACAGCACCUCCCUGCUCUGCCUCCAGACCCACAUCGCCCGAACCAGAAAUCUAGAAGCCAGUUUUAAACCCCACUCUCUCAUCCUCAGGCUGAAUCGAUGAUCAGCUCCUGCCCAUUCUUCCUAUUCAGUGUUGGUUUUUCUACACCUAUUACAGCAGCAGCCUUCUCACUAUUUCCCUGUCUCUAGUUUCACAUUCUGAGACCCAUCCCACUGCACCAGACGCCUGAAUCAUUUCCCUAAAAUGCAAAUCUGAUCCUAUCUGUCCUCUUUAGUGGAGUUCUGAAGUCCACACUCUCCAGCUCGGCCUACGCAUUGGUGCCCACCUGCCCAUUCUUGCUGUGCCACGCCCUGCCAGUGGCUGAAGAUUCUGCAGAUGAAACUACCGACCACAAGAGCCCCUUGUGGGCAGCUUCUGGCUUACCGCGUCGCCCUCCCAUCCUUCUCCCUCCUCCCAUUUACCCUAGUGACACACAGACUUUCUUUCCUCUGGGCAUUUUAUCCCCACCUGUGGGCCCCUGCUUACCACAACCCUGUUCUGUUUCCGGAAAACACCUCUAUCCUGUUCUUAGAGUCCUAGUUCUGUCACCAUGCGUAACUCACUAUGUGAUCACAGUCACGUGACCACCCCUGACUGUGAUCACUUAAUCCAGUGCUUCUCAUCUUUUGACGCACGUUAGAAUCAACUGGGGAGCUUUAAAACUUUGAUGCCCAGACAGCAUCCCAGACCAAUGAGGUCAGAUUCUGUAAGUGUCAGGGGACACUGUGUGUCCCCUGUCUCUAAGACUGUACACACUUUGCAUCUGCAAGGAUUCCCAAAGGGAGCCAGCUCCGAGGCACACACCUUGGCAAGAUCUGCUCAGAGCACUUAGCAGAAGCAGGGCUUGGAACUGCUUCAAGCAUGGGCCCACGGUCGCCAUUUCCCACAAGCUUGGAAAAGCCCCAUCACGUCCGCUGCAGCUGAGCAUGACUCAGCAGGCCUGGCCGCUCUGGUGACCUGCUCCCCAGCAUCGGGUGUGGCCCCCACGGCCACCCUCCGCCUAUUUGGAGGAGGCCCAGCUCCCCCAAACAGGCCCCAAUCCUCGGGAAGCAGCCACACUCACUUCCUGGCCUCACCCGUCUGGACCGUGAAUGUGGCCUUGACAGGACAAUCCACUCUCAUCUUGUCCUGCCCGGGAAGGUAGAGACUUUUAAACUGACCAGGUGGCUGGUCCGGAAGACAGCCUGAGGUUGUGUAAACAACAGAGUUUGGCUUCUGACUCCACCAUCCCCUAGCUAUGUGACCUUGAGCCCAUUGGUCAUUUGACCUGCCCUGGGCCUCGGUUUUCGGGUGUAUAAAAUGGAAAUCACCGCCCGACCUUAUGAAUGUACACAACAGGCCUGGCGCAGAGGAGGGGCUCGUUACAGUCUCCUUUCCUGCCCCCAUCCUCCGCUCUCCUCCCCAGAGCGGUGGGUUGGCUACGCUGGAGGCCCUCACCGGGGCACCCCCCAGUCCCGACACUGGUGAGCACGUGAGGACAGAUCUGGGUUGUGCUGUGGGGAGAAGGGAAUAAGCGCACACUUGCACCCCUCCAGUUCCCUAGGGCAAGACGCCAUUUUUGCUUUGCCUGGCCCAGGGCCUCCAGGGAGAUAGGCAGUUUCAGCCUAGAAUGGGCUCCCUUACAAGGGAGUGUGCUGCAUGUGGAUGGGUGAGAGCACGGGCUUGGGGACCACCUGGCAGGGAGGGCGCCAAGGCAGACUGGUGUCGUAUACCAGCUCCAUCCCUGACUAGCUGGUCAUGCUGGGCAGGUUCUGGCCAUUCCCCACACCUGCAGGGUAGGAGUGGGCACGGCUGCCUGCCUGCCUUAGGGCUCGGUGUGAUCAGGUGAGAAAAGCACCACGGAAGCCCUCUGUAGCCCCAGAGGGCCGCACGAAUGCAGCAUCACUACACCGAACACGGCUUCAAUUUUUACAAAUUUCUGUGUCGGGUAGGAGGUUGGUCAAGAUGACCUAUAAAGGGCUUCCCUGGUGGUGCAGUGGUUGAGAGUCCACCUUCCAAUGCAGGGGACAUGGGUUCGUGCCCCAGUCCGGGAAGAUCCCACAUGCCGUGGAGCGGCUGGGCCCGUGAGCCAUGGCCGCUGAGCCUGCGCGUCCAGAGCCUGUGCUCCGCAACGGGAGAGGCCACAACAGUGAGAGGCCUGCGUACCACAAAAAAAAAAAAAAAAAAAAGGUAACCUAUAAAGACCCCGUGGUUCUGUGGGCCCCAAGAUUCCAAGGCCAAAGCUAAGAGUCUCUAACCCAUUCAGGGCCAGAAUAUUGGCUGGUAAGGCAGAUGGUGAGUUGAUGUAAAUGACUCCAAUGUCCAAGAGGCAGGGUGAGCACGUGUGUGUGUGUGUGUGUGUGUGUGUGUGUGUGUGUGUGUGUGUGUGUGUGUGUGAUGGGGGCAGGGGUGCACAGCAGAGCCCUCUGGUCUCGAGAAGCCUAGGACAGCACAGCACUCACCUUCUGGGGGGCAUUGAUGACUCCAGUGUUGUAGCCAAACUGCAGGGAGCCGAGCACUGCCCCUCCCACGGCCAGCAUGAGGCGGCCCGUCAGCUUCUGCAGAGAGAAAAGCCCACACUGUUGGAGGCACGCCAGGCCCAGGUGACUAGAGGGCAGGGCCUGGGCUGGCAGGUUCCCUUGUUCAGAUAGCUUGCCUGACUCCUGGCACCACACCAGCCCUUCUCUGAAGAAACCUGGCCACUUCCUGACCUCAGGUGCCCAAACCAGCCCUGCCAACUUCUAGACACCGCACUGGCCAGACUCAUUCCUGGGGAGAGAGGGUAAUUAGGGUCUUCCCCCUCUCUGUAGCCAGGGCUUGGCCUUCUCCGGGGUCUCAUUCCCCUGUUGAAGCCAUGCCUGGGCUUGAGGUGGCUCCAGCCUCUCUGGCUGGGAGGCCCAGGAACCAAGGCAAGGGGGGCCCAGUUACGUGGGAGGAGCGGCAUGGAUGGGCGAAGUGCCCUGGAUUUGGAGCCCAAGAUGCUGGCUUCUAAUUCCAGCCCACCUGCCUCCUUGCUCUGCGAAUUCCAGCAGGUGAGUCCCCUUCCCCACUCUUCCCGGCCCGUCUGGUUGCUUGUCUGCAAACCCUCGCCUCCAUUCACAGGGUAGAUACUGAGGCAGAGACAAGUUCCAGCUUACUCAGGGGUCUGCAGAGAGCCAGGCUGAAGCUCGGGGCAACCAUCCCCAGACCACGAGCUUCCCAGGGUCGUUAGGACACAGAUGACAUACCAGCCAGGAAUGUGCUUUGGAAAAGUACACGACACAAGGUGAGUAAGAGUGCUGGGUCGAGGUGUUUCCAAUGGGCAGAGGGCUGGGGGAGAAAAAGGGCAGUGGGAUUCUGUCACCUGGAAGCCAAGGGCCGGAGGCAGCAGGCAGGGAGGAGGCCAGCAGGCAGGAGGGCCCGGGGAGAGCAAGGUGCCUUGCUAGGGAGAGGACUUUUGUUUUCUUUUAAAAUGAAGAAGCCAAGAUGUAUGACAGUUAAGGCAGGCCCUUAACUGACCGAAAGAACGGGGCCCGGGGGGAGGGAUGCCAAAGAAAUGAUGGGCGGGCAUUCACCAGGUGCACCACACGGGGCUGGGCACUGGAGGGGAGGGGUGGAGGCACAGAUCCUGAGCCGCACCUACCUGUGGAGGGGAGAGCCUCAGCUUGGCGAUGGCCUUGGUCUCCCCCCCUCCCCCCAGAACCCAGAAGCAGCCCUGACUUCGAGAUCCUCACAGAUAGCGCUGGGCUUAGCUGUUAAUCAGACACAUUCCUAGUAUGGUCUUUUCAUUCUCUAGAAGCCGUCAGGCCAUCGAUUGCGAAAGCUAAGGUUCUCACGUCAGAGGCUGAGAGUAAGGUUUCAGCCAGCAGGAGUUCAGAGCCCAUUCCUUGUCAAGGGAGAGCUGGAUCCUUCCUUCCCACGGGCUCCUUCCUGGCCAGACUCUGGACAUUCAUCCUAGACGCUGGGCCUUUCCUCCCAGCGGGCUGCACUCCCUGUAAAUCCUGUCUGUCACGGCCCACCCUGCCCAGCACCCCUCAGAGCCUCCCUCCCAACUCCUUAGGGAGCCUUCAGACCCAAGGCUGUUGGUUCCGAGUGGGUGGUGAGCACCUGACAGGCCUCCUCUGGUGGGCCCCGGCCAAGCCCAACUCCUCGGGUGACCACUGGGAUUAAGUAAGAGGAGGUCACAAGGACGGCACGACAGCGGCUGUUGAACCCCCACGUGGGGGCUUUCUGCCUGGUGAGUCACAGGUGUCACGGCUCAGGGUUGGCCUUGAGGUUGGCCAUCGUCUGAUACUAAUGGUAUACAAGGUAUAUAUUAUUCUAGUACACACUCGAAUAAAUAGAAAACUAGCAACGCAAACCUAGGAUUUGAAAAAAUGUGGCAUAGCUAUAUAAUGGAGUACUUAACAAAGAAAGCUCUUUAGGUACUGAUUUGGCAUACUCCCCAAGUUAUAUUAAGUAAAAAGCAAAGCUUCAGAACAGCGUGUUGUAUGCUACCUUUUGUGUGGGAGGGAAAAAAAAAAAAGGCUAGGAUGGGGGAGAAUAUACACAUCUACUUCCUUAAAAGAAUGCACAAGAAAGGUAACAGUGUACCUUGGGGAUCUGGGUGGCAGAGCCAGGGUAGAAGGGAGAAUUUUCAUUUUAUAUCCCUUUGUACGUUUUUGAAUUUUGAACCACAUGAAUGUAUCACCUAUUCAAAAUAUUUUUUACAAGCCCUGUGGUUUCAUAUUAUUUAGAACACAGCAAUUUAAAUAAAAAUAGAAGUGAAAAAUGAUACAGAUGAUAUGCGGCUCUGGUAAAAAUCGUGCCCUUGCAUGAAUGCCCUCGCAGAAGGGGCUCUGCUGGGGGGCAGUACUGUUACUACAGCCCUGUCUCCAGUCUGGCUCUGGUGUGCCAGGGGUCUCUGGGCCUCUGAAGUCAGUCUUGGGGCCCUGCUGAGCAGCUGUGCCUCUGAGAGUGGGGGCUGCUGGGAGCCAAGGACAAAGCCCUCUGCUGGACUUUGCCACUUGGCAGGUCAAGGUCAAACUCUGCUUUAGAAAACCUGCCUACCCACCGGCUGGGUUACAUCCACAUCCACCCAGGCAGGCUGCUGUGUCAAGAACUACUAAAAGGCUCAGUGACUCGCGCCCCGGGCCCUGGUCCUGACAUCAAGGAAGAGGCAUCAGGUCCACUGGGAAGGGGAGGCUAGUGUGGUCUGAGCUUCAGCUGGGGCACUGCGGGAGCCCUGCAGGGAUAGACUUGUAAUUUUGCCUGGGACAGUCAAUCAAAGGUGGGUUCCUGGGAGGUGACACUGGAGUCGGGCUGUGAAGGACAUGCAGGGAGUCUGCCAAGUGGAGAAGCGGUGGCAAGACUGCAUUCCAGGUAGACAGAACAGUACGUGCAGGGGGAAGAAGGGGGGGCCCUGCAAGGCUGGAUCUAACGGGGUGCUCAGUGUGGCUGGAUGCUAGAUCCAGGGGAGGAGCAUGGCCCCCGCUCCUGGGUAGGCAAGCGGCACCCACCACCUCUCGCCCCCACCGCACCCAGCGUGCUCACGACAGGACUUGGAAUCUGGAGACCCAGGCUGAAAGGCAUCGAGCUGCUUCCCUCACCUUGGAGUUGAGAUAUGUGGUAGCCCUGACUCUGGGUCUCAGUUUCUUCACAUAAGAAAUGGGGAUAAGAGUGCCUUCCCUUAAGGCUUGCUGUCAAGCUCUGCAUCAUGGAGCCGGCAGGGUUCACUCGACAGGUGUUCGCUGAAUCAAGGAGGGAUGGGAAGUCCCCAUGGUACCAUCUGCCUCCACCAGUCCCGUGGCUGGAACUGAAAGGCGGUAAUGAAGUCCAUUCAUUUAACAUGUAUAUAUUUACGUGCCAAGCUGAUGGACUCGUUGGUGAUGCCUUAAAGAAGGGGUACAAGCCCCACAGCUCACAGCUUUCUUGUGGAAGCCUUUUAUAGGGGUGGAGGAGCAAGGGAGAGUCUAGAAUCUGGGACCACGGCCGCCCAUCACCACCCCUGGGGAUGGGGCUACCUCCUAGAACAUCCCAUGCUGUUCCAGGCCUUUGCCCUUGCUGUGUGCUCUACAGUCUCCAGCUUCUGCUCCAAGCAGUUGGGAAUACCCAUCUGCUGUCCACCCACCACACCGGGAACUCCUUAAGAAUGGUACCUAGGGUGCCCAGAGUAGGGCGCAGCGCUGAAUAUUUAUACAAAGCAAACCUGUCACUUCUGAAAUUAACUUUUUGGGCAAAACUGGCUCUGCAUGUAUCUGUUCUCUGAGAACAGGGUUCAUCCUAACAGAUUUGAACUCGGCCAUGUAGCAAACCCCUGAUGAGUACUGGAACAUCAGCUCUGAGAGCUGGAAACAGCCUAAAAGUAACUCUCCAGGCCCCCACCCCAACCCACAGGGCUGUGGAGGAAAGACCUCUGACCUGAGUUCAAAUUCUGAUUCUCCUAGGGGUGCCCCAGGCCUCUCAGUUCAGCAAGCGCUUGGGCUCGGGGUCCUGCACGAGGAGGCUCUCAUGCCCUCACCCCUCACCACCCCAUCCCAAUUCUGGGGGUCCUGAGGCCCACUUAGAGCUCUUCUUCUCCCAGGAAGCCACUGAUGAAAUGUUGGCUUCAGAACCUCUCCUCCCACACACGGGGAUGCCGGGUGGCCUAGCCAGGUCAUGUAACUUGCCAAGCACCGUGCGUGGCCUUUCGACCUGCGUCCGUGGGCCGGGCCUUUCCCUGGCAUGUACUCCAGCUCCGGGCUCUCCCAGUCAGUACUGGCGGAGGGAGGGCAUGUGGCCACGCCAUUCAGAGGUAGGUUACUCCCAAUGGGAGGAAGGUCCGGGAGGAGGGUCCUGGAGCCGGGAUGAGCCAGAUGUCACUCACAUCCUUUCCUCCUCCCACAGCUCCUGAGUAGCCCUGGGUGCACUGGAGCAUGGGACAAGGACCUUGUAACUGCGUGGUCCCCAGUUCUAAGCAGGGUGGAGCAGGGGUUUAUGGGAUCCGUGACAGCUCCCUUUUUAUUUAUUUAUUUAUUUAUUUUAUUUUUUACUUUAAUUUUCUAAGAUUUCAUUUGAACAAAAUUCUGGGAGAUGAAAAAAGAAGCGCAAGAAACUGCAGAAUUGCUGUAAUACCCUCAUGCGAUUGAUGGGGAGCCUAAGGUCAGAGGGUAGGGGCCCAGGAUACUCGGCAAACAAAAGCUAAUUCUGGGACUUGAGUUCUUUGGAUUCCUGGACAAGGCAUUUUACCCUCUGAACUCUUCCAGCCUGUCAGGUCUUUUCAAGAAGAAGAGUAAUAACCAUGUGGAGCCUGACCUUCAGGUGACCUCAGGCAUUUACUCCUCUCAGCCAUCUUCUUCAAGUCCUCCAGUGAUGUCAGGACUUCUGCAUGGCUGAGCCUCCCCUGCACCCCGCAGGGGCCCUGGAGGCAGAAGGUGCUCAUCAGUCUUUAAAAGCAGAGAGGAGAGGGAGCUGCCGCUUUUAUCAGCACCAGCAGCACCGGGCAGGCCCUAGGCAACGUGCCAGGGGCUGCAUCCACAUCCUGAUUUAACCACCAUCACCAGGCUCUGGGGGAGAGAUGGCUCCCACUUCACGGAUGAGAACAUGGGAGACUCAGAGAGGAAAAGGCGGAUGAUCAGGAGGCCUUCGGCUGCUGGAAGCUUCAAACUGAGGGGUCUCUGCUGCCAAACCCUUCCUGCUCACGUCCUCCCCUGCUUCCGGGUACUGGUCCCCAAAGGAAGCAAGGUUUCUAUCCGCUCCUUCCUUCCUAUGUAGGUCAAAUUCCAUUCCAGCAACUCGCUGGGCCUUGCCCAGUUUGAGCCAGGACAGCCCAGGCCCAAGCUCAGAAACCUCUCAGUCGCUUGGGUAGAUUCUGCUGUAAGCCCAGGUGGGUCAACUAUGGUCCGUGGCCAAAUCCAGCCUGCCAGCUAAGAAUGGGUUUUACAUUUUUAAGUGGCUGGGAAAAAAAAAAAAAAAAGAAGGCUAAUAUAUUGUGAUACAUGAAAAUUGUAUUAAAUUUAAAUUUCAGGGGAGUUCCCUGGCAGUCCAGUGGUUAGGGCUCAGUGCUUUCACUGCCGUGGGCCUGAGGUUCAACCCCUGGUUGGGGAACUAAGACCCCACAAGCCGUGUGGCUCGGCAAAAAAAAAAAAAAAAUCAAA